CCGGCCACACAAGUCCAUCGGGAAAUCCGCCAGCCUAACUGGCGGGCGUCCGGUGGAAACUGUGUGGCUUGGGAUCGGAAGACCCAACGGGUACGUCUUGGGUAGGGGUGAAAUCCUGUAAUCCUGGACGGACCACCGAUAGCGAAAGCACGUUGGGAAGACGAAUCCGACGGUGAGGGACGAAAGCCAGGGUCUCGAACCGGAUUAGAUACCCGGGUAGUCCUGGCCGUAAACGAUGUCUGCUAGGUGUGACUCCCACUACGAGUGGGUGUUGUGCCGUAGGGAAGCCGCUAAGCAGACCGCCUGGGAAGUACGUCCGCAAGGAUGAAACUUAAAGGAAUUGGCGGGGGAGCACUACAACCGGAGGAGCCUGCGGUUUAAUUGGACUCAACGCCGGACAUCUCACCAGCAUCGACAACAGUAAUGACGGUCAGGUUGAUGACCUUUCCAGAGUUGUUGAGAGGAGGUGCAUGGCCGCCGUCAGCUCGUACCGUGAGGCGUCCUGUUAAGUCAGGCAACGAGCGAGACCCGCACUCCUAAUUGCCAGCACCGGCUUCGGCCGGGUGGGUACAUUAGGAGGACUGCCGUGGCUAACACGGAGGAAGGAACGGGCAACGGUAGGUCAGUAUGCCCCGAAUGUGCUGGGCUACACGCGGGCUACAAUGGCCAAGACAAUGGGUUCCCACCUCGAAAGAGGGCGGUAAUCUCCUAAACUUGGUCGUAGUUCGGAUUGAGGGUUGAAACUCACCCUCAUGAA
rnacentral:rRNA from 1 species